rnacentral:lncRNA from 1 species
UACAAUAUGAUAUAAUAUAUAUUACAUUAUAUAUUUAAACUUGGACUUUAGUAUUUUGUUAACUGUCUGAUAUAAUACUAUUAAAUAUAAAUGAUUGUUUGGUAGCCAAAAUAUUUUUGCUAAAGGCAAAAUUUAGACAAAUCAUAGCACUGAUUUAAGGUUGUAUAUUUCUGGGUUUUAGUUUUGUAAAAUAAUAAUUAAAAAAUGAUUAAUUUCAAUUUUAUAUAUAUUUUUCUUAUUUAGCAUAAUAUUCCAUAUCUGAACUAAAAUUUGCAUUUGUCCAACAGAAAUAAUACCUCAAAAUUUAUGCUCUUUCAUUGUUUUAAAUCCAAAACAAGCAGUCAGGUAAAAUGAGGGAUCUGAGGUCACUCAUUUUCUUGUCCUCCUCUUUGCAGUCAUUGUGCUCUUGCUGUUCAUUUGGAAUUGACCCUUUCAAUCCAGGAGUCCGUAGGACCCAAGGGCUGGAGGUGGGAGCUAUGCUUAGAGGGAGCUGGAGCCAUUCUGGGCUGCGUGGACCUCAGUCCUGGAUCCGCGAUUGUAGCUGGUCAACACAUCGGGGCUGGACCCACGGUUCUGGCGUCUGCAGUGGGCUUAUCUGGAAUACAAAAUAACAGCUGUAGAAUAAGUACGUUGAUUAAUACUGACUCACAGAAACUCAGUUUUGAAGCCUUUAUUGUAUUUCUGAAGACAUGAAGAGUGCUGAAUCCCAUACCUGAAUUCCUUGGAGCAAAGGACGUUUUAGAAUUCUAAACUUUCAGGCUUCACAAAGGCAGCGCUGAGCCUGUGUUUUAUAACAAGUUGUAUAGAAAGUGUCUGGGCAGUGCUCAGGAAUGAAAUACAGUUGGUCCUCAUUAUUUGCAGAUUUGAUAUUUCUAAAUUUCCUACCUGAUAAAAUGUAUUUGUAACCACAAAAUUAACACUCACAUUAUGUUCACAGUUGUUCACAGACAUACGCAGAGCAUCAGAAAACUAAAAUACAUUGUGCACCACCUGCUGUGCUCGCAUUCCCAGCCAAGGCUAAGCCAGGCGACCUAUGCCUUCUUGUUUCAUCUCGUGCUGUGAACAGGUUUCCUUUAUAAUACCUAUUAAGAGCACUUUUUAGAUUUUUAUUUAUUUGGUUUUUAUUAUUAUUAUUUUAUAUACUUUUUGAGACGGAGCCUUGCUCUAUCACCCAGGCUGGAGUACAAUAGAUUUCAGCUCACUGCAACCUCCUCCUCCAGGUUUAAGGGUUUCUCCUGCAUCAGCCUCCCACGUAGCUGGGAUUACAGGUGCCUGCCACCACGCCUGGCUAAUUUUUAUGUUUUUAGUAGAGAUGGGGUUUCACCAUAUUGGUCAGGCUGGUCUCAAACUACUGACCUCAAAUGAUCCACCCGCCUCGGCCUUCCAAAGUGCUGGGAUUACAGGUGUGAGCCACCACACCCAACCGCAAGAGCCAUAUUUUUAAAAUUCUGCAUUUCUGUGCUUUGUUGAUGCUGAUCCUGUUUAGGAUGGCCCAGAGAUAGUGAAGAUGUGCUGUCUCCUGUCUGCGUCUCUGACCACAGAGGCCAUGAUGUGCCUUAUGGAGAAAUACAUGAGUUACAGAAGCUUCACUCUGGCUCAUAUUCCAGUACUGCUGGCAGUGAGUUCAAUGUUCAUGAACUAAAUGAGGUGUCUUCAAACAGAAACACACAUAAAAUGGGGCUAUGCAUUGAUUUCUUGAUGAAAAUGUUGAGACCCGAGGUUUUCAGGAACCUAACCUUGUAUUUCCCCUAGGAGCGAAAGUUCACUGUUCACCAAUUCAGUAUUCACAGAGACUUUAUUGAACAGAAUUACCAAGAAUAAACAGAAUUAGCUGUAUAUGGAGAUCUGCUCUGAGAAAAAUAUGAAUAUUCACGUGAUAGGAGAGAUAAUGUCUUUAAAUAGCUUUAUCUUGGUUUAGGUCAGGUUUUGCCGUUAUAGUAACGAGUCGAUUGACAAGAAGGAUACACACUGAGAAAUGCAUCGCCAGGCAGUUUCAUUAUUAUGUGAGCAUCACAGAGUGAAUUUAACCAAUCUUGAUGGUGCAGUCCACCAUCAACCUAGGCUACAGGGUAUGGCCUAUUACUCCCAGGCUAUCAGCCUAUAUGGGAUGCACUGGACCGAACACUGUAGCCAGUGGUAACGCAGUGGUAUUUGUGUAUCUAAAUAUACUUAAACAUAGGAAAGUAAAACCAUGUCACUAUAAUCUGAAGGGACACUGUCAUUUAUGUAGUCCAUAGUGGACAGAAAUGUUACACAGCACAGGACUGUAAUUAAUUUAAGGUUAAACAAGAUGCCAAAUGAAUUAAGAAAAAGAAAUUGGUUUCAAACUUUCUAAAGUUUGUAAUUGUACAUAGGGGCCGUGAUAGCUGGUGGAAGACCUUCACAGUCUCUACUUAACAAAAUAAUGUGAUGAAUUUGCUUAGCAUGUUGACAGUAUAUCUAUGAAUAAAGGUUUUGUUUCUUAAAGUUUUUAAUUAUGGAGAACAUAUUCUUACAAUUGCUUAUAUUCUUAUUUGGUUUGACAAACCUUUUUUUGUUUUCUAAGUCAUGAGAAAGUAAGUUUCAAUUGGGCACUGUUGCCUUAUCACAGAUCCCAGGAUAGUAAGGUACAAAUUACACGAGAUUUCCUAAAGCCACUUCUUGCUCUGUUAAGAGGGCAUAGGCAAAGCGCAGAGAAAUAAAAUCAACAGACACCAUUCAGAUCUCACCUAAAUUAAUAGUUACAGCUUCCCACUCCAUCAGAUCAUUCAUCAGAGCUGCUAAUGAGGAGUAAAUUAGUUGAUUUGAGCUGUACCUCCUUCUCUCUCUCUCUCUCUCUCUCUCUCUCUCCCUCCCUCCCUCCCUCCCUCCCUCCCUCCCUCCCUCCCUCCCUCCCUCUCUCUCUCUCUCUCUCUCUCUCUCUCUCUCUCUCUCUCUCUCUCUCUCUCUCUCUCUCUCCCCUGGCUCUCCCCUGGGGACAGUGCUAAUGAGAAGUGAAAUGAACAGAACCUGGCCACAGACCAGAAGAGAACCUGCAGCUGACUGGCCCCUGCUCACCUGGCUCUGAACAAUGAAAGGCUGCCUAUAAAACAGGAGGAAAAAGAGGAAAUUAUGUGCAGAUGAAUGACAACAUUUUAUUUAAAGUAAACUCCAUGUUAGGUUUACUCUAUCAAUACAUAUGUGUACAUUUUCAAAUUAAAAAUAAAACCAAGAGACAUUUCUGUAGUUGGUGUGUAUUUAGAAGUUAAGAUCUAACACUGUAUAUUUAAAAGGCAUCAGAUCUGCUUUUGGGUCUUGGUUUUGAGUAUCUUUAGUUGUGUAACAUAAUGUAAUAUAUAUUCCAUCAUACAUAUUUUAUCUACAUAUUAAUUUAAUUUAGAUAUACACA